AGAUUUAUAAUUAAAAUUAAAUAAUAUUUGGUCUGCAUCCAAAAUUAGCUCUAAUUAGCUAAAUCUA
rnacentral:tRNA from 1 species